GUGAUGCUCGUAAAUUUUGCUUUACAGCUGGAUGGGUACGCCCAAGGAAAUAGGUACUGUAGCUGGAAUUAAUUGAGCUUCAGAGUUACUUGAAUCAACUUGAGGCGAAAGAAUUAGAUACACGGAGAGAGACAAAUGGAAGAUGGAAGGAGAAUCAAAGAAUGCAAAGACUGAAAGAGAGUAAGAAGGAAGUUCUGUAAAUCGCCGGGUUGACUCGCUCUCCCAUUCUCUACUGACCGAGUUUCUCUCUCUCACACACACAAACACAAACACGCAUUUUUCUCGCACUAUCCUACUAAAAACGAAAACCAGAAUCUGGGUUGUUUAAGGUUUUUGUCGAUUCAGUACCUAUUUCUCAGUGUUACUGUCUUUUAGUUUACAGUAUCUUCAAGCAAUGUCAGACAGCUUAUCUUCUGAAGAAGUCUCCAAAUCGAUGUGGGACUCUCUACCUCCAGAAAUCGUGACUGAUGUUUUCCUACGCUUGCCUGUAAAAUCCAUCAUAACUUGUACAUGCGUCUCCAAAACAUGGAAAUAUCUCAUCCAAAACCCCACCUUCAUUUCCAACCAUCUCCACCACUCCAACAACAACAACCACCCCCUACUCCUCUUCGGACUAAAUGAAGAAAAUGCAAAAGAACAAUACGUUUUGCAUUUUGACGACAACCAAGAUUUCAAUGAGUACACCAGGUUUGAUUGCGACCCUUUUCGUGUAGUGGGUACUUGUAAUGGCCUCAUCUUCCUUGCUGAUGAUUCAUAUAGGCACUGUUAUAUUAUCUAUAACCCUCGUGUUAGAAAGUUUGUCAAGCUUCCUAAACCCAAUAUCAGCUUCUCCUCACAUGGCGGCUACAACGCCUCUGGGUUUGGAUUUGAUUCCAAAACCAAUGACUAUAAGGUGGUGAGGUUUGUGACUCUUGAACAGAAAGUCCAAAAGGGUAAGUCUCCACCGGAGGUGGAGGUCUACUCACUCUCCACUGGAAAAUGGAGAAUGAUUACUGCUUUGCCUCCUAUAGCUUUUGCACGUGAUCGUGAUUCGCGUGCUUUUGUCAAUGGAGCUCUGCAUUGGGUUGCUUUGAGGGAGCCUAGGAACGAACGUCUUGUUUUUGUUAUGGUGUUUGAUUUGGGGGAAGAGGUUUUCCGUGAGAUAGCGCUGCCGGAACCUUGGAUGAGCGUAUCUAUUUCAGCGUAUGGGAAUUCCCUUGCCCUGUUCCAAUUUUCUAUUCACUGUCUCAGAUCCAGUAUAUGGGUGAUGAAAGACUAUGCGGAUGCAUCAUCAUGGACCAAAAUUAUAACUUUGUCUGAUGAAGGUCUCAUAGAGGGCAUACCAAUACCGAGGCCAAUAGGUUUUAGGAAGAGUGGUGAGUUUAUUCUGGAUAUGUAUGGAGAAUACCUCGUCUCACGAGACCUUGAGACCCAAGAGAUUAAAGAUCUUAGGAUUCGUGGCUAUGGAUGUUAUUUGGUUGAUUCUUAUGUUGAGAGCCUAGUUUUACUUGACAAACCCAACCAACUAAGGAAAAGACAGAAAAGAAAGAGGAACAACGACAGGCAAGAUACAUCUUAUUGUCAAGCUUAUUUUGAUGGUUUUCCAUUUUGUUCUUCAUAUAUACCUGGUUUUGAUUAUGAGUUUGAUAUGAAUAUAAAUUCUAUAAAUUCUUAUUGUUGAUUGAUUACCUUAAUUGAGUGGCUUUAUAUUUAGAAUAGAUAGCAGAUCAACGUUGUGGUUGUUUUCGGUUAUACUGAGAAAACAAAGUGGUUUGUCUUGGUUAUGAACUUUUAGCAUGCUUAUUUAUCAAUUGGUUGAAGAUAUUUGGACUGGGUGAGUAUCAUGUUUUCUGCCACUUAUAAUUUAUAUUAUAUAGAUAGAUGUACUCAACUUAUUCUUUCUUGAUAAUGUUAUGGUGGCCUCUUUUAACUUCACGUUUUCACACUCGUACUAGUAUCUGUUUGGAUCCACUGAAGACAUGCAUCAUCCCAACAUGGUACAGCAAGUACAUAUCAUAAUACUCCUAACUUCGAAUUUCAGCUUAGUGUUACCUCUGAACAAUCACCCCAAUGCAUCAACUUCUUAAUUUUUAGUUACACAUCAGGUUCCUAACCUUUGGGUGGUUAAGAAUUGAAAAUGAAUUUUUUAUAAUCCUCCUCUUCUUCUUCUUCUUCUUCUUCUUCUUCUUUUCCCUCCCUUCCCCCAGAUAUGUAAAUAUAAAUUAUAAAUGCAAACGUAAUUGCAGAAAACAGAUUUGUGGACCAAUGUUAUAUAAGAUCCACAGGUUUUUCUCAAGAUGCAAAACACAGAAUCGCUCUUGGUCCAAACACUCCAAACUCAGGAAAGGCAGCAACCUUGGAGGUAGGAAUUCAUAAGGCUUUCUCUGGGACGGCAUUGAUACUUUUCCUUAGAAAUGGAGUGGCCUAACUUGGACCUUUUGAAAUCAUGCUUGAUGAUGAGUUGUACAUAAGUAACAACUUUAACUCAGGGAAAGAAAAGAUUCAACAAAGUGUUUUGAUGGUGUUUUGUUUCUUAGUAUUGGCAUUAGUUUUUAUGUCAAAAUGGAUUGUAGUAGCUAUUAUGUGAAUUUACUUUGUUAAACUCAUUUGGGCUACACCAUUCUUGUGUUUGUAAUUCUGGAUGAUAUGUAGUUUGGUUUCAGUUUGUUUAUAAAAAUGAUUAAGCGCUAAA